rnacentral:lncRNA from 1 species
AAAAUAUGCUAUNACUUAGUCAGAAAGUGGAUUAUGAACUAUUAUUCAUUGUGUUAAAGGAUUAUUGGCUUCACAAUAUAAAAGUUUAUUUUAAAUGGUUUAUGUUUUUAGAAUGAAGCUGCCUUUAUUUCCAACUUUUAUUGUACAUAAUACUACAAUGAAUGUAUUUGCACAUGCAACUUUUUAUAUAUUUUAGUUAUUUUUUUCUUAAGACAAAUUCUGAAAAUGUAGUUGUUGGGUCAAUUCUUUUUUCUUCUUAGGAGAACAUAAGUCAUACUGGAUUAGGGCCUACCCUUGUGAUCAACUUAAUUUUAACUUAAUUCACUCUUUAAAAAUUCUGUCUCCAAAUACAGUCACAUUAUGAGGUACUGUGAAUUAGGAUUUCCAACAUAUGAGGUCAGGAUGUGAAGACACAAUCAGCCCAUAACAAUAAAUAAAUGUGUUAAACAAAUUAUGUUGAAUAUCAAGGAAAAAUAUGGCAGGAAGUUAGAUUAGGAAAUGUAACUUUAAAUACACUAGCAAGAAAUGUCUCUGAUAAAGUGACUGGAAGAAAGAAGAGGAAUAAGCUACAGAAUUAUCAGAAAAGAAAAAAAAGAAAAAGUAUUUCAAGCAGUAGACCAUCCAAUGCAAAGACACUGAAAAGAAAGCCACCAGCUAUGUUCCAGGAGGAGCCAGGGGAGCAGUGAGGAUGAUGCUAGUUAUUGGCAUGGACAUUGGUCAUAUGCUAGGGGCUACUUGCCUGACUCACAGGAGCAGGCAAUUAAACGUUUAAAGAAAUCUGUGUGCAAGUUGACAACAUAUCAGUAGCUUGAAAUUGGCUAUUAUUGAAGUAUUUACACCUCGGAAAUUGGCAAACACUACAAAUCAUAGUGUGUUCUCACCAGGGGACCCAGUUGUUAAACAUUUACAGUGCACCAGAGAGCCAGGGGGAGAGUUUCAGGAGGUGAGUUCAGAGAAAAGGCCAGGACAGAUCCUGUGGGCUGGAAAGCCAUUGCAAGGACAUGGGCCCUUUCCUAAGGAAAAUUCUUUAGGAGGACUUGAAGAGAAAGGGCACAUUAUUGCAUGUGUGUUUUAAAUAGAUCUCAAUGCAGUACAUAGGGGAAAUAGACUCACAAAGCAUAUGUCUGGAAGCCGGGAGAACAGAAAAAAAGGCUGUGGCUAGAAUUCAGGCAAGAAAGAACAGCUUCUCUACUCAGCAGGAAAGAACUGGUGCUGUCUGACAAGGAUUCAAUUCUGGAACGUUUAUUUUAUAAAUAGGGACACCAGCACAAAUUGGAGAAUGCGUGAGACUGGGAGGAGUGGAGGAUGACUUUGGGGAUUUUGUCUUGAGCCACAACAAGAGAAGAAAGGAGUACUCUCUGCAGAGAAGUUUGCUGGAGUCACUCAAGCUUGAGAUGAGUCACAAAGACCCCCAGAUGGAAUCACACAGUAGGUAUUUGGAUAAAUACACUUGAGUUUUAGAAGAGAGACCCAGAUACAUCUUAUAUCUCGAACACAAAUAUGCAUGGUCUUCAGAUGCAGAAUGAAACAAUACUAUACAUCCUCUAAUGAUGGUUUGCCAUCAUUAAUCACUAGAGGGCAAUAUAAACUAAUUUUCUCCUGUUUUACAGUCUUGAAAGAAGGGAUUAAACAAAUCUGAUAAAAUGAUGAAGAUUGUUAGGCCAAAAAGCCAGGUGUUCUAACCCAGAACGGAAUGUACAAGACACUACAUUUGAUGAUGUUGGCAUUCUUCAAUGUGGAAAACAUUUAUGUCAGGCCAUACCAAAUAGGAAGAUUUGAAGGCUGACAUGUUCAGAAUGAGCAGAAAUGUCAUUCUUUGCUGAAGUUCAACCCAACAUUUACUUACUAUGUUUAUUCAAGUGGUAGGCAAAAUGUUCCGUACUGUUUCUACAUGAGUUAAGGUACGUAUCAGUUAAUACUAGAGGAUCGUGGUCACCCAUGGCUCUUUUAUCCUCAGGAAACAGCAGAGCACAGUCACAGUGUGACAAAGGGCCCUUGAUACCCUUGGCACUCUCUUCACCUAGUUACAGUUUCCUAGAAAGGACGUGUAGGAUGAUCAGAGGUAACAAAUGUCCAAGAGAAUUUUUACCUCAGAGGCCACAUCGAAGGAAUGAUUAACCAUGUGUGAUACAUUAAAAGGUUAAACAUGAAGGAGGAACAGAAGAAAUGAGGGAGGAAGUCUCACAAUUACAGGGUGAUUUAUUAUCCAUAAAAAAAUAAAUAAAAGAAUAAGGGAGUGGUUGAUUUAUACAAGAUCUCUGGCCAGGAGCAGUGCCUUGAGAAGGGAACUGCUGGCAGCCAGACUGCUUGGCUCCUGACAUGCUGCCCAUAAGCUACAAGUAGCAAACAGCUCAGCCCUGCUCACCAGCCUCUGUAGUAAUUAAAAUGUCCCAGAGCAGCCUCUGAACUACAAGCACCUGUCCUUACGGUUGUAAUAAAGGGGGAGAGGGCAAAAGUAGUCUCAGAUCCUGGUUGGAUACCAAUUCUUCCCUCAGUGACCUUGGACAUGAGGUUGUGGGAAUGCAUCUGCAUGAACAAGGAAGAGAACCAGGCAAUGGAUCAAGGACGUAUUUUAUCCAACACAUGGCUCUGUGCUCAGCACACAAUGCCUGUGUUUACACCUACAGAGUGAUAGAAGCAAAGUCUCUACUGGCAGAAAUGCUUCUUUUUCUGAAAUCCUUGAAAGGUUCCUAGCAAUAUUAUAAGACAAAAACAGUUUUCAUUGGUUUGCUUUUCCCUGGAAGAAUCAAAGAGACUGACACUUCCCAUGAGUUCUGGGGUCAGGGUGAGGAGACCCAAACACUUCAAUAUGUGGUUGGGUAUUUUUUUCUUGGUAUAGAAAAAGGUAAACUUGUAGCAAAUAGGGUUGAGGAUAUGGCUCAGUGGUUAAACACCCCUGAGUUCAAUCUCUGGUACAAAAAAAAAAGAUUGCAGCAAAUAAAGUAAAAUGUUUAAAAAUAGUGCUAUGGUAGCUAUGUCAAUCAGACAACAAAUAGAGGAAAUUUAAAACCAUCAUGAUCAUCAUUCUAGAGUUUAAAAUUUGGUAUAUGUAAUAACAAACAAGCCUGAUUGUUUUAAGCUUCUUUUAGUAGUAGAAAAAAAAAAUUGCAUUCAAGUAAAAUCUUUCCUGUAACCCCAGUUACAAACCCAUAAAGGUGAAUGCUGCUUAGACUGAAGCAAAAAAAAAAAAAAAAAAAAAAAAGAAGUAGCUGAGCCCACAAGUCCCCACCAGGUAUUCCAUGUGACUGUCAUCAAGGUGCCAUCUUGCAAACUGUUUUUUUUUUUUUUUUCGAUGUAUGUUUUGGCUAAGAACAAAGUCCACUAGAUAAUGAAAGUAAUUUAAAAAUUUUUUUAAUCUUGAAAAACACACAUGAUUUCUUAAUCCAAACCAUCAGGGGCUGGGAGUGAGUAAAAAAGUGUUCCCCUUUCUGUAUGAAGAUAAGAAUUCAGAGUUUAUAUUUCAUAGCCAUGGCUCAACCAAUAUAUUCGCAAACUUGUACUUAAAAGUAAAUCCCAGAAUUCCUUGUGGAUUCCUCAUGGCUGGUCUCUGUACAAGUCACCAAGAUUAUAAACAAACAACUCAUUUUUCUUUCCCAAUGUCUGCAACCCAUUCACUUCCCACUAGCAUCAAUCUGUCUUGUUCUAAUCCCGCAUAAGAUAACUAAUCUUUAUUACUGAUUCUGAAACCAUCUAUAUCAUGACAACACUCUGCUCAGCCAUCUUCAGCACUUUCUGCCUUCCCCAAGUAAGGUCCCGACCAUCCUGCUAAGCACCCUUACUGCUCAUGUAGCCAAGGCAGCAUGGAUGGAAAGUGCAUCUAUGGGGACUAAGCUAGACUAGGGAAACCUGAGGCUGCACUGAGCCAGUAAAAGGGUUGCCUCAGCCAUCUGGGGAUAGAACGUGAAUUGAAUGGCUAAACCAUUCUCUAGGAGGCUAAAGUUUCUGAUGGAAAGAGAACACAACAGGCCAGAUCCAAGGACCAGCGACAGAAAGAGAAGGAGGAAGGAAGUCAGAAACAGGAGAGACAGGGGCAGGUGGGACAUGGUAAGGGAAGAGCCCUCAAAAGGGAGAGGCUUAAGACUGAGCCUGCACCUCUAAGAGUAUGUGGCAGCUCACUUCUAAGAAUUGAAACUAGAGACCUAAGUGGAACCCAGUCACUAUGGGAGAGCCACAGUCCCCAAGGAACCAUGUCAGGAGACCUAAGACACUCCAUGUGUUGAAAUGCAUUAAUAGAGACUGCAAGGGGCUGUGUCAAGGGGCCUGUGCUUCUGUGUCAAGCACAAAAAGAAUGUGAGCUGUCCUCAUGCACCUGUGAGAUGUGGUUUUCUAAGCACAGCCGAGCCACCAUUCCUCCAUAACUGUAUACAUGUUGUUCUCAGCCUCAGAUUCUCCUUUCUUACCAACUUUCCCACAAACUUCCACUAUGUCCAGACCAAAUUGAAAUCCUAUGGUGUUGAUGAAACCAUCUCUAAAGUGUCCCUUUUACCCAAUAUAAAGUUUCAGCAUGCUGCAAGGCAGAGACAUGCAGUACACAAAAUACAGCAAUGUCUCUUUAUUUGGAGGGAAUAUGUUCCAAAAUCCUCAGGAGAUGCAUGAAAGCUCAGAGUACCAAAUUAUCUCUGUAUUGUUUUUUUUUUUCUAUGCAAUCAUUCCUUUGUUUCCAUGGGGGACUGUCUUCAGUAACUCCUUCAGACACCAAAAUCCAUAAAUCCUCAAGUCCCUCAUAUAAAUUGUAUAGUAUUUGCAUGUAACCUAAGCACAUCCUCAUGUAUACCUUAAUUCCUCUUUAGAUUACUUAUAAUACCUGAUGCAAUAUAAACACUAUGUAAAUAGCUGUUGAACUAAAUGUUUAGGAAAUAAUGAGAAGGAAAAAGAUUGUGUAUUCAAUACAAUUUUGUGUAUGUGUGUAUGUGGUGGUUGGAAAGGACCUCACACGUGCUAGGCAAGAGCUCUCCCACUGAGCCCUGCAAUUUUUUAUUUAAUAUUUUCAAUCUAUGGUUGAUUGAAUUUGUGGCUACAAAACCCACAGAUAUGGAGGGCCAACUGUAUUUACAUACCUAUUAUAAAGUUUAAUUUAUAAAUUAGGCAUAGUAAAAUAUUAACCAAAAUAACUACUAAUAAAAUAUUUUAAAAAGUAUAACAAUACACUAGAAAACAAGAUAUUUAUACCUUAUUGUUUAUUACUGAAACUUUCUAUUUAAUAAUUUUAGAUUGCAGUUGACCAUAGGAAACUCCAAGUACAGAAAGUAAAAUCACAGUUGAGGAGAUACAAUGUGCUUACUUUACACAAUUGCUUUAGGAAAAACAUUAAAUACUGUAUAAUUAAGCUGAUUCAAAACCAGCCCUGGAUUUCAGAUGGAGGUACAGAUUUAACAGUCUUCAGUAUAAAUAUGGAAACUAGAACUAAGGUGAUAUUUUCCUGUAAGGGUAGGUAUGUAGAGGGAAACAGGGCCAAAGAGAUUUGGGGGUUCCAUGUAAGGAUCUGUUACUGAACCAAACACCAUCAAAGGACAAAGUAGAGAGGUCAGCAAGGGGAAGGUAAGGAAAGCCUGGCUUCAUGAGGAGUGUGUUUCCAUUAGUGGAGCAUAGAGUGUCAUUAAAGAGAGGCAGAGGGCAUUGAAAAUGUUCACAAAGGAUAUUUUAAUGUUUUUUUUUUUCUUACAUGAAGAAAUUUUAAUAGAGGAGAGGGGCCUAUGUGAUAAGGUUUUGAGGAGAUAGGGAUACACAGAAGACAGGUCAGUAUCUAGAUGACAUGGGUUGAAAAAAAUUGGACAAGAAAAGGAGUAAGCUGAGAGGGUGGAUAUCCAAUUGACCAAGCACAGUGCUGGUACAAAUAAAAAAUUGUGAUGCGGUCUCUGGAGAUUUUCUUAUCAUUGUCUCAGUUCAAAUAAAAACACCACUUUUUCUAUGAGCCCACCACAGAUUUGNACAUAUGCCUACUCUAUUAUUCCUAGAUAUACCACAAAGGGGAACAAUCGUACAUGUCCACUGAAGCACACAAACUAGAAUGGGGCUAGCAUCUUUACUUAAACAGUCAACAACUAGAGUCAACCCAAAAGCAAACCAAGACUAGGCUAGAUAAGUAAUUUGGAAUAUAUUUAUACAAUGGAAUAUUGCAGAGCAGUACAGAGUACAAAGAACUAUAACUACAUGGACAAAGCCACAGCAAGAGGAAACUACAUGCAAAGGAAUACAUAGGUUCCUCUGGUGAACAGAUAGGGAAGGGGUACAAAGGAACCAUUCAGAGUAUUAGAAAUGCUCUCUGUUCUAUAUCUGGGUUUACAGUGUACGAACACAGGUACAUACAUUUCUUAAGACUCAGGAAACUCUAUAAGAACUGUGCACUUGAUAAUAUGUGUGACAUCUAACAAAAAUAAAAAUAAAAAGUAAAAAAGCUUAAUUAGAUGAUCAGUGGGAGUUAUAGAAUGAAACCAAGAUUUUAUUAGAAGAACAAGACCUGUUCCAUUGAAAACAGAACCCUGAAGAGAUGAACCAUGAAAUGUCAUGAGAUCAGAAGCCCCUACCAGGCAGAAGCCAUUUAUUUUUAUUUUUUAAAUUUUUUUUAAGUUGUCUGGACCUUUAUUUAUUUAUUUAUUUAUUUAUUUAUGUGCUGCUGAGAAUUGAACCCAGUGCCUCACAUAUGCUAGGUAAGCACUCUACCACUGAGCCACAACCCAGCCCCCAGAAGCCAUUUCUAAUGUAGCAUGAUGCACCCAAUGCAUAGACAAGUUUCUGAAACAUAGUAGGGCCUCAUUAAAUAUAUAGUAAUUAAUAAACAGGGUUAAUAAACCAAAAGAGAUCUAAUUAAGUAACACAAAGCAGUAGUGUUUUGAGAUUAAGAAGUUAGUUCAAACCAGUAGGAGAAACAACAAGCAAAAAUAGUGCUUUGGUAGCUUGCUCGCUCCCUCUCUCUUCAUAUGAAUUAGUUUUUCUUUUAAUGAGUUUAUUCUUUGUAGUAAAAUUGAGGCUCAUAUUCGUGGCUCCAAUACAACUUGACUCAAUUUUUAUAAAUCUGAUACAUUUGGGAAACCUUGUAAACUAAGUUUUAAUUCAAUCCGGAAAUACUGGAUUUGGGCCAAAAAUCAAUGAUACCAAAAUGAACAACAGUAUACUGAAACUACAGUAAGGGAUGGAUAAAGGCCGCCUUUGUCAAACUUCUCCAACUUAGUAAAACCUGCUUAGCAGGGAGAGUGUGGAAACUUGGACAGAAAAUCCUCCCAUGUUGCCAGUUUCCAUCUAUUACAGAAAAUGGUUAUUUAACACAGUACAGGUGGAAUAAUCCCAAUUAAUGUUUCCCACAUGCUACAACUUGGAGAAAUAACAUCUCAUCCAAUGACACAGUGUUAUCCAAUUGUCUGUGAAAAGCUGUUUAAUGACCGGAACUAUCGCAUUGUCAUACGGAAAAGCCACUUGUAAAUAUUAUGUUUAUUUGGUUUUCUAUCUUUUCGGGCUCCAGUGUGUAAAUUGUACAAUCUCAGUGACCACACCUACACAAUCAGCUCAGAACCGUCAGGGCCACGGUCAUAUAUAGCAGGGAGGUAGGGUUGGCAAACAGUCUCAACCCAUGGGACUCUCACUGAGAAGCACGAGCAUCUCAUUGCAGUGGCUGCUGAAGUGGGCCACUUCCAGGCUCAGGAGAAAAGUGAGGCUUGAUGAACUAAUGAAACCUGCAAGAGCAAUGGGACAGCUGGGUGAGAAUGGAUGCCACCUCUGGUACUCCCUGGUACUGCCACAAGGACAAGACUGAAAACAGGUGGCAUGAUUCUAAAGAAGUUCUAGAAAGAAGACUGUGAGGGAGGAGUAUAUGGCCAAUUGUGUAUGACCUCUCAAGAUUCUUUUUGUCCUUGCCAAGUCUUCUCGAUUCAGGGGUCUUUGUCACCAGUCUUCAAGGGGAAAUUUUCUUGUAUGUGUGAGCCCAAUACUGAUCUGUUUAAAGAAGUCCCAUUAACCAAAAACUACAAGAGGUUGAUACAAAAAUCAGAUACCAACUUAAUAAAUAAUGGCAAGAUGUAUCGAUAUCAAGAAGUGAUAUUAAUCACAUCCAAUAGGAAGUUUCCUUGGUCCUAUGAUGAAAGCCUAUAUCAUAACCAGAAAAACGGAGCCAGAGUCAGUUUGAAGGCAAAGGUGUUAGAGUUCACAUAGCUUAAGGCCACCAUUUCCCCCUGUUGACACCGAGCAUACAGGUCAGACACCAUCUCCUCUGCACAAAGCUGGAGAGAUUUGACCAAGUCUGACCCUGAGGCCCCCAUACAGGGCAUGCAUGGAACUGCUUCUUCUAUUAAAUCUUCUUGCACAGAUGUUAACAGGACCCAGAGUUUUGUACAUGCAGACAUGUCUAUCCUUCAGGACAACUUCUGUAGGCCCUUGGGCUCACAUUUUUUAUUGAUUUUAUUUGCUGAAUUCUCAAGGUGUGACUUAGGAGCAACUCAUAGUAAUCAUACACUAUAAAUUGUCCACAAUUUCCUCUUCAAUCCAAUACUAAGUAGCUCUGGGAUUGGGUCAAGUCAAUUUACCUUGGAGACCAAAGCUAUGUAAUCUAUGAAAUUUUAGCAUACAGUUUAGAAUUUAGACAAAAUAGCUAAAGGUCAAUGAUCUUAAGGAGAAAUACUUGCAUAUUCCUACAAUACAGGAUUUGCACAGAUACCACUGGAGUUGUACUCCAUUUCUUCUUGGAACAAUUCCUGUGAAUUUUCUGUUCAGACUCUCUCUACCAGUUAAACUGCACAUGAGGUAAUUCACUUCUUGUCAUACAAUGAUUCCUUAGAUCAGUUUGGAAAUUUCCAGCCUACAAAAUAUUGCUGCUUCAUAGCAAUUAUGUAAGGUAUUCAUUAUCAUCAUCCCUAUUUUACAGAUUACAAAAGGUCACAUCAGAAGUUUUAAAUGAUGUGUCCAAGUUUCUAGCCCUGAUAAUUACAAGCUGUGGGUCAGAUCUGGAGAAUUCCAGCUUCAAAUCCUGUGUUUUUGCCGGUAAGCAAAGGAUAUGCCGUUCUGUUGUGUUUGCCUUUUCACAAUUUAUAGGCAGUUGCGGCCCAAUUUGUUUUUGUAUCAUUUGGCUUUAAAUCAGUACAGUCAGUAUGUACAGAAAACAAGAUUUAAAUUUAUAAAGUCAUAAAAUAGAGCUCAGUGUACAUUCCACACAUGUCACCCAGACACGGGGCUGCUCCACACUUGGGAAAGAUUCGCUAAUGCAACAAGAAAUUGCUGUACAGGCCCCUGAGUAUCUGGAGUUCCGGAAGGGAAGGAUGCCAACCAAACUCGACACCAGGGAUCCCAUACGUUCUUCCUUGUGGACUGAAACUCAACACCUGCCUUCACAAUGCACAGCAGGCCUAUCCUUUUCCUUAUUUGGAAGGUGCUACCACAGUGUGGACUUGAAACCUGAUCAGCCCUGCUGCUGGACAGGCUGUAUUGUGUUUCCUGGUAACAUCAGAUCCAGAGACCACAGACACUCUGGGUGCCUCUGUGCUCCGUAUUCUAGAAAGUUCAAUUUGGGAAUCUCUAACUUUGAGACCACUGUCUGAAUAUGCUUCACUGUACGCACUGAUGACUAUAAGACAGCUAACCAGGAAGUGUUGCCCAGCAGUUACUGCUGAAGCAAAAAGCAGGAUAGUGAAUAUCUUUUCUCCUUGUUUUAUCUCAUCAAUGUAAACUUAUUAGUCAAUUAAUAACUACUUCUCUUCAAUCAAAUCUAUUUCUCUUUCUUUGGAAAUGGGCCUAAAUUGCACAUGAGAAAGAGGAAUGGAGUUUAAUUACUAUAUCUUGGGCCAGAGAAGUCAGAGAUCCCAUGUCCUGUUAUCUUCUCCAAUUUCCUCCCAUCGAAGGGAAGAGAGAGAUAAUUUGUAACCUGUGCCCAUUCAGAAAUACACAUGUAAAAUAAAAGUUAAAUGUCCAGAUAUCAGUGAGGUCUGAGACGGGAAAAUCUUUCCAUCUAUUGCCAGAGCUGAGGAGGGAAGGUACAGAAAUUAGUGGAGAUCAAGGACAAUCACUUGCAUUAUUUCUUUUCUAUUUUUCCAUUUGCUGUCAUAGUAAAGAAUUAAAUUCCCUGCUUUUUCAGGGCUUAAUAUUCUCAGGAAAAUAUCUUAUUCAUAUGAUAGACUAAUUCAGGUAAAGGCAUAUAAAGCACAUUAUAACCAAGUUUUAAUUAUAAUUUUAUUUUUCAAAUUAUCCUGGCCAUUUAAAGUUUCAUCUGAUUGGCGGGCUAUAAGAACUAAAUCAAAAUAUCUGUUGCAGAUACAUUUAGCAUAAAGCAAAUAUUUAAAAGGAAUUUUGCAUGUAUUAAUUGCUGAUUCUUUCAUAUGCCAACAUAAUUGUUAAUAUGAACAACUAACAUUAUGCUUAGAAUGAUUCCAUAUGACUGCCUUGUCCUUUUUAAUUUUUGCAACUCAGGGGAUUAAACCCAAGGAUUUGCACCUGCUGGGUAAGUGCUCCACCACUGAGCUACAUCCUCAGCCUCACUGGCAUUUUUAUCAUCCCAUUUUAUAGAUGGAAACUGGGGCUUCUGUGGAGACCUCUGAUUCACAAACCACUACUUGUGAUGAGGGGCUAGUUUGCAGAGCAAUAGUUUCCCUCUGGAAGUUAUAUGCAAUUGUACAAUUGUUUUAAGAUUAAUAUUUUAACAGACAAUCUUGAAUGUGGGGGUUCUGGAUUAUUGACUAACUAUACCCACUAACAAUUCUAUUUUUCUACAUGUAGUAGGCAUGCCGUGAAUGACCAAAUAAACUUCC